rnacentral:misc_RNA from 1 species
GGAAUAAAAGUCGUAACAAGGUUUCCGUAGGUGAACCUGCGGAAGGAUCAUUAAAGGAUUUGCCCCGUCCUCUCGAGGAUGGGUCCUCUUCUAAACCGUGUAUACAUACCUUUGUUGCUUUGGCGGGCCGCCGUCUCGGCGUUGGCUUCGGCUGACUGUGCCCGCCAGAGAACCCCAACUCUUCUGUUUAGUAUUGUCUGAGUACUAUAUAAUAGUUAAAACUUUCAACAACGGAUCUCUUGGUUCUG